rnacentral:lncRNA from 1 species
GAAAGAAAGAAAGAGAGAGAGAGAGAGAGAGAGAGAGAGAGAAAGAAAGAAAGAGAGAAAGAAAAAGAAAGAAGGAAAGAAAGAAAUGGAGAUCCGUCCAAACCGUUGACAUUUUGGAGAAACCUCAAGGUACUUGACGGUUUGAGUUGACGAGCGUUCGGAAUAUUGAUAUAUUCGACUUUUUAGAAGACGCAGCUGGAUUAGAGCAUGUACUAGAGAAACUUGAAGAGGGUCUACAUUGAAGGAUUUUAUAAAAACUGGUUGCAGCUCCUACAUUUUGAUGGUUAGUCCCCCAACAAUUUGUUCAAGUCAGAUUUGAUGCCACGUUCAAGUUUAGAGAGAAGUACAAGAAGGAACAUCCCAUCAACAAAUCGGUCACCAUUUGUUCCAAGAUGACUAAACCAACUGAAACUGCUCCAGCAAAUUGGUUCUCUUAAUUGAAAGAAGCUGGAAACAAUGAAAAUGGACGAGAUGCUGCUUAUAUCUUUUAUUACAUGAUCAUUUUUGUUAAAUAUAACUGGAGCAUAGCACUACUAAAAGUUGAGAUGCUGCAUUGCUUGUUUCAAAGAUUUUCUGCCAAAGACGAUUAACUGGUCUCUUAUGAUGUCUUUGUUCAUAUGCCUCUCAAUUUAGGAAGACCAAGUUCUCAAGUUAACUUUGCCAAGACUGCAAAUACGAUGGCUCUUUUGGCAGAGGAACAAUGCUUCAAGUCGAAGGAGAAGCUGAAAAUUAGUUGUUUAGGACAUGUAACUUUCAUCAACUUCUUAUAGCAGUUGUCAAACUUUUGGGCUACAAUGUAUUUCUGCAAAGUCAAGACCCUAAGACACCAUCCUCGUCGUGAUGAGGAUGGUAAUAAUUGAUGAAAAUGAAGCAAGGGAAGGGUAGAAAUGAUUAGAAUGUGUAUUAGGAGUAUCACAUUUUGGAUGUAAAUUAAUGUUCGUAACUUGGAACAUAUUUUAUCUAUAAAUACUCUCAGUUUGUACUUUGAAAUGCAAUAUAUGAU